rnacentral:snoRNA from 1 species
CUACAUGAUGAUACAUACCUAUUACACAAUAUUUCUGGUACCUCUUAUGUCAGGAGCCUUUACCGGCUUCGAUGAUCUACAUGGACUUCUGAUA